AGAAGAAGAAGAAGAAGAAGAAAUGACUGAAAAAACAAUGAACGACGGACGUUGAAUACAGAAACCCAGCUAGAUUUCUGUGUUUUUAUUAUUGGACGAAAAGUUUAACUGCAAAUUUUAUCUGUUGUUAGUUUUAACGGGAGAUAAAAUUUACUAUUAGAUUUAACCACGGAUAAAAUCCGAUGUUAGCUUAACAGCGGAUAUAUAUCCGUUGUUAGCUUAUUUACCAUUACUUAACCUAACGGCUUUAACAGGGAAUAAAAUACGUUGUUAGUUUAACAGCAGAUAAAAAUCCGUCGUUAGCUUAUUUACCAUUACUUAACCUAACGGCGGAUUUCUAUCUGUUGUUAGAAUUUCUAACAGCGGACUAUUCGUUGUUAAAAUAAUAAAAACCGUCAUUAAACAUGUCGUUUCUUGUAGUGUAUGAUAUGGAUUAACUAUUGAUAAAUGAGUUAGUUGGAUUAAUUGGUUUUCUAAUUGUCAUUUUUUUAAAACUCAAGCAUAU
rnacentral:lncRNA from 1 species